AAGGUGGCCUGUGAGGGUUGCUGGAGGUAUCAGAAGUGCGAAUGCUGACAUAAGUAACGAUAAAGCGGGUGAAAAGCCCGCUCGCCGGAAGACCAAGGGUUCCUGUCCAACGUUAAUCGGGGCAGGGUGAGUCGACCCCUAAGGCGAGGCCGAAAGGCGUAGUCGAUGGGAAACGGGUUAAUAUUCCCGUACUUGGUGUUACUGCGAAGGGGGGACGGAGAAGGCUAUGUUGGCCGGGCGACGGUUGUCCCGGUUUAAGCGUGUAGGUGUGUGUUCCAGGUAAAUCCGGUUCACUUUAACACUGAGGCGUGACGACGAGGCACUACGGUGCUGAAGCAACAAAUGCCCUGCUUCCAGGAAAAGCCUCUAAGCAUCAGGUAACAUCAAAUCGUACCCCAAACCGACACAGGUGGUCAGGUAGAGAAUACCAAGGCGCUUGAGAGAACUCGGGUGAAGGAACUAGGCAAAAUGGUGCCGUAACUUCGGGAGAAGGCACGCUGACACGUAGGUGAAGUGAUUUACUCACGGAGCUGAAGUCAGUCGAAGAUACCAGCUGGCUGCAACUGUUUAUUAAAAACACAGCACUGUGCAAACACGAAAGUGGACGUAUACGGUGUGACGCCUGCCCGGUGCCGGAAGGUUAAUUGAUGGGGUCAGCGCAAGCGAAGCUCCUGAUCGAAGCCCCGGUAAACGGCGGCCGUAACUAUAACGGUCCUAAGGUAGCGAAAUUCCUUGUCGGGUAAGUUCCGACCUGCACGAAUGGCGUAAUGAUGGCCAGGCUGUCUCCACCCGAGACUCAGUGAAAUUGAACUCGCUGUGAAGAUGCAGUGUACCCGCGGCAAGACGGAAAGACCCCGUGAACCUUUACUAUAGCUUGACACUGAACAUUGAGCCUUGAUGUGUAGGAUAGGUGGGAGGCUUUGAAGCGUGGACGCCAGUCUGCAUGGAGCCGACCUUGAAAUACCACCCUUUAAUGUUUGAUGUUCUAACGUGGACCCGUGAUCCGGGUUGCGGACAGUGUCUGGUGGGUAGUUUGACUGGGGCGGUCUCCUCCUAAAGAGUAACGGAGGAGCACGAAGGUUGGCUAAUCCUGGUCGGACAUCAGGAGGUUAGUGCAAUGGCAUAAGCCAGCUUGACUGCGAGCGUGACGGCGCGAGCAGGUGCGAAAGCAGGUCAUAGUGAUCCGGUGGUUCUGAAUGGAAGGGCCAUCGCUCAACGGAUAAAAGGUACUCCGGGGAUAACAGGCUGAUACCGCCCAAGAGUUCAUAUCGACGGCGGUGUUUGGCACCUCGAUGUCGGCUCAUCACAUCCUGGGGCUGAAGUAGGUCCCAAGGGUAUGGCUGUUCGCCAUUUAAAGUGGUACGCGAGCUGGGUUUAGAACGUCGUGAGACAGUUCGGUCCCUAUCUGCCGUGGGCGCUGGAGAACUGAGGGGGGCUGCUCCUAGUACGAGAGGACCGGAGUGGACGCAUCACUGGUGUUCGGGUUGUCAUGCCAAUGGCACUGCCCGGUAGCUAAAUGCGGAAGAGAUAAGUGCUGAAAGCAUCUAAGCACGAAACUUGCCCCGAGAUGAGUUCU
rnacentral:rRNA from 1 species